ensembl:misc_RNA Y_RNA Y RNA
GGCUGGUCUGAAGGUAGUUAGUUAUUUCAGUUGAUUGUUCCACAGUCAGUUACAGAUAGAAUUCCUUGUUCUACUUGCCCCUUGCCCCCAUCUCACUACUGCAGUUGACUAGUCUUUU